rnacentral:rRNA from 1 species
UACGGGGGGGGUAAGCGUUGUUCGGAAUUACUGGGCGUAAAGGGCUCGUAGGCGGCCAACUAAGUCAGACGUGAAAUCCCUCAGCUUAACUGGGGAACUGCGUCUGAUACUGGAUGGCUUGGAUUUGGGAGAGGGAUGCGGAAUUCCAGGUGUAGCGGUGAAAUGCGUAGAUAUCUGGAGGAACACCGGUGGCGAAGGCGGCCUUCUGGACGAUGACUGACGCUGAGACGCGAAAGCGUGGGGAGC